rnacentral:tRNA from 1 species
GGCUGGUUGGUCUAGCGGCAUGAUUCUCGCUUCGGGUGUGAGAGGUCCCGGGUUCAAUUCCCGGACCAGCCC